GACGAACGCUGGCGGCGUGCUUAACACAUGCAAGUCGAACGGAAAGGCCCUGCUUUUGUGGGGUGCUCGAGUGGCGAACGGGUGAGUAACACGUGAGUAACCUGCCCUUGACUUUGGGAUAACUUCAGGAAACUGGGGCUAAUACCGGAUAGGAGCUCCUGCUGCAUGGUGGGGGUUGGAAAGUUUCGGCGGUUGGGGAUGGACUCGCGGCUUAUCAGCUUGUUGGUGGGGUAGUGGCUUACCAAGGCUUUGACGGGUAGCCGGCCUGAGAGGGUGACCGGCCACAUUGGGACUGAGAUACGGCCCAGACUCCUACGGGAGGCAGCAGGGGGGAAUAUUGCACAAAGGGGGGAAGCCUGAUGCAGCAACGCCGCGUGCGGGAAGAAGGCCUUCGGGUUGUAAACCGCUUUCGCCUGUGACGAAGCGGGAGUGACGGUAAUGGGUAAAGAAGCACCGACUAACUACGUG
rnacentral:rRNA from 1 species